UGGAGCCGACCUUGAAAUACCACCCUUUAAUGUUUGAUGUUCUAACGUGGACCCGUGAUCCGGGUUGCGGACAGUGUCUGGUGGGUAGUUUGACUGGGGCGGUCUCCUCCUAAAGAGUAACGGAGGAGCACGAAGGUUGGCUAAUCCUGGUCGGACAUCAGGAGGUUAGUGCAAUGGCAUAAGCCAGCUUGACUGCGAGCGUGACGGCGCGAGCAGGUGCGAAAGCAGGUCAUAGUGAUCCGGUGGUUCUGAAUGGAAGGGCCAUCGCUCAACGGAUAAAAGGUACUCCGGGGAUAACAGGCUGAUACCGCCCAAGAGUUCAUAUCGACGGCGGUGUUUGGCACCUCGAUGUCGGCUCAUCACAUCCUGGGGCUGAAGUAGGUCCCAAGGGUAUGGCUGUUCGCCAUUUAAAGUGGUACGCGAGCUGGGUUUAGAACGUCGUGAGACAGUUCGGUCCCUAUCUGCCGUGGGCGCUGGAGAACUGAGGGGGGCUGCUCCUAGUACGAGAGGACCGGAGUGGACGCAUCACUGGUGUUCGGGUUGUCAUGCCAAUGGCACUGCCCGGUAGCUAAAUGCGGAAGAGAUAAGUGCUGAAAGCAUCUAAGCACGAAACUUGCCCCGAGAUGAGUUCUCCCUGAGACUUAGAGUCUCCUGAAGGAACGUUGAAGACGACGACGUUGAUAGGCCGGGUGUGUAAGCGCAGCGAUGCGUUGAGCUAACCGGUACUAAUG
rnacentral:rRNA from 1 species